GUGCCUACUGCGCAUGUGCAAAAAUUGUUCAUUCACAGGAGUCCUUCCUUUGGCGCGACGGGGGACGACAGGUGUGGCGCUGUUGGUCAACACAGUUCCCGGGAGAGAAGGGCAGAGAUGUUGGCGUUCACAUGAAGGAGUGGUCUGCUGGAGGGCCAUAAGAGAAGCCUGGAAAAGCCCCCGCUGCUUCCUUGAUGCUGCUGGUCACAGCCAGGGUGUCGUUGCACAGAGAGGAGGACACCGGCAGGUCGUUGAUCAUGCACAAAUGCCAAACAUCCGCUGGUUCCGGUGAAACAAUCUGCACCUGUGUGUGUUUGUCCACCACUUCCCUGCUUCAGCACUAUUCAGCCAAUUGAACUCCGUGGAUGGGAAGGACAAAUGGCCGUUGAUUAAGGAGACGAGGGAUUGAGAUUGCUCCAUCUGUACAGUAGACGUCAUUAAACACCAGAUGGAAAACUGAAAUAAUAAAUUCCCAAGCCGCCAAGGUCAGGUACAGAUUAUAUUGCUCUCAGACUCUCCACCUGCAGACUUUAUAUCAUGUGGGUAGCAAAACCAGAUACUGGUUUAAUGAUGCCUGCUUCACAAAGUGUCUGCGAUCAGUCGUGCUGCUCUGAUUGGACGAUCCACUGCAGAUCAGUUGCAGAAAGUUAAGAUGGCAUUUUUAUUAUUUAUGUAGAUUGUGUAAUCCUGGCU